CUGCUGUUGAAUAAGGUUGUCUUUGAGAGCAAGUCAUGGCAGCACUAAAGACUGUGCACAGAGCCCCCAACCAGCCGUGGCCCCCACGUGUUCGGACCCACACCUUGAGCAGGCAGCCGUGAAAUGGGGCCCUGUCUGGGAACUGUUGGCAGGCCGGAUGGAAACAGCAAAAGCGUGGUCCUCGUUAGCUGGGAUGACGCUAGCUAGCCCGUCGUCUCUGGGGAGCAUGCUUGGCUGCUGCUGCUGCUGCUACUGCCGGGAGGCCGAGAAAAGGAAAGGUGAAACAUAACCAGCUCUGGGGCCAAGGAUUAAAUCAGAGACAGCUUAUCAGCAGCUGCGACAACAACCGCCGACCUCCAGGUCACCCAACCCACUGACCUAUUCUGACCAGGGAGGCCGGACCACAUAAUUCUCUUGACCCCCAACGCAUCCCUCCCCUCCCACCCUCUUUCUCUUCCCCUGUUGGGAAACAGGGGCAGAUCAAGGGGUGGGUGGGGUGAUGGGCGGGAUGGUGACCUGGAGAAUAUAAGGAGUGGGGAAAAUUCCAGUGUGUUUGAAUCUCUUCACGUCCACCCUGGAAUCGGGGAUCGCAGCUCACAUUCUCCCCACACAAACCCAGCCCCUGUGACACGCCUGGAAUGCUGAGCCUUUUUACUUCUUCCCCAAUUUAGGUAAUUACCGCAGCGGUCACGGUGCUCAGAACAGAGACCGUGACCCUGGGCGGUGCACAGUGACAGCCCAUGUUGCUGAGGCGGCGCUCUGCUUUGUGCUGCCGAAAACAGACCUGCCGACAAAUUCAUCACUGACUUCUCUGCAACGGCCCUUAUUUAGUGGCUAUAAUGCCUGCCAACUGGUGCAUUGUGCCGUACCUGCGGUACCAAACAUUCCCAUGGAGUGUGUUGGAAUAAUGAUGGCCCGCCAUUGGUUGCCAGCUCUUUAUUUGCUGUUGCUCACUUAAUGCGUAGAUUCAAGGCAGGCACAUCUCAAUUUUAAACCAUUUAUCUUCAUUUUAUGCUUUUCUUUAUUUGUGUGCUGGUUGUUGCAGCUAUUUGACACCUAUAGCCAUGUAUGUAGUUCACAGAGAGAAUGGGGACCCUCCCUUGCUUCUUGCUGACUCGGGGUGUCUAUAAUAAUUUUACCCGCCUCAGAGUUAAUGGACCCAUAAUAGGCCAUGAAGCUGGUGGAGCAGGUUAAUGAAACAACUGUAGAAAUGAAGCUGAGUCAGUGAAAACCCACAAUAGCACGUUGCUUAUAAUUUUCUAAAUCUGUCAUUGCAAUUCCAUUUGAGUUAUCCUUAAGUGUUUUAUUUUGUGUGUGAUGCAAACUAUAUUCAAAUA
ensembl:lncRNA